rnacentral:pre_miRNA from 1 species
UGGACAGAUUAUUGUAUUCGACUGUAUUUACGGCGUGAAACAGGGGAUUACACUGUUUUAAAAUGGAAAGUGAAUCAAUUAACAUAAUAGACUCCU